AUGAAUGCUGGCGGCAUGCCUAAUACUAUGCAAGUCGAGCGGCAGCGAGGAUCUCAUCCUGUCUUGAAGCUUCGAGAAUAGAAUGAGAUCUGUCGGCGAGCGGCGGACGGCUGAGUAACGCGUGGGAACGGACCCCAAACUGAGGGAUAACGUACUCGAAAGAGUGGCUAAUACCGCAUGUGAUCUUCGGAUUAAAGUCUUUGGACGGUUUGGGACUGGCCUGCGUACGAUUAGAUAGUUGGUGAGGUAAUGGCUCACCAAGUCGACGAUCGUUAGAUGGUUUGAGAGGAUGAUCAUCCAGACUGGGACUGAGACACGGCCCAGACUCCUACGGGAGGCAGCAGUAGGGAAUCUUUCACAAUGGGCGAAAGCCUGAUGGAAGCAAUGCCGCGUGCAGGACGAAGGCCUUCGGGUUGUAAACUGCUUUUAUAAGCGAGGAAUAUGACGGUAACUUAUGAAUAAGGAUCGGCUAACUACGUGCCAGCCGCUGC
rnacentral:rRNA from 1 species